rnacentral:sRNA from 1 species
AAUUUAAACAUUCAUACCGUAGACAGUAGGGGCGUUCACGCUUAAUCAUCCUACCGAGGUAAGCGAUAUAGAUUCUUAAUAAAAGAGUCCAUAAUGCCCUCAUGUCUAUACAUGGGGGCUUUUUAUA